GCAAGUGUGGCAUAGUGGUUUGAGCAUUGGCUUAUGACUCUAGAGACCAAGGUUCAAUUCCCUGCUCAGCCA